GCCUGAGGCAGAGAAGACAACUUCUGGCGACAGCCCUGUUCUCACAAGGACCCACCCACAGGGCCUUCCUUCUUAGUGGACCCCAAGCCAAAUCUGGCAUCUGAGUUUGCAGCUGCCAAGGAGUGAGUUCUGUUGGCCUUGGUGACAAGCUGCUUUCUGAAAUGACGACUGAAAUGACAACGAAGAUUACUUUUCUGCAUCAACAGAUUCAGACUCUGCAUUUGUAGUCUGUACUUUCGGAAGAGACCCUCAAAUGAAUUAGCGGAGAGAGCUUUUUAGAAGGUUGCUACUUCUGAAAGAGCAGGAUGUGCCUUGCAUGCUGAAUAUUUCCAGCUCAAUGAAUAAAUCCUUCGCCUAUACUUCACUUCACUCUGUACUCCCAAGGAGGCCGGAUAUGAUUACUCAACUAAAGAUUAAAUCCAACGAAGAUUCCACAUCAAGAGAUCCCCUUCGCUUUUCUAGCGAUUUGUAGUUUUGUUUUGUUUUGUAUCAACUCUGACUCCACAUCUCUGUUUUACCUCAGGGUUACAGAGAAGUCAGGCAGGAAAGAUUUAGAAUUGAAGAGAGGCAUGGCUGGAAACACUGGAGGGAACGCCAUCGGUUCAGCUGGCUCUGCUCUGUCUGUUCCUGCCAUAACCAAAGCUGGUGAGAGACUGAGUGACAAUGAGACUCUGAACAGCGCUGUAGUAGCCUGGGGGCUGUGUCUUCAAAAUCUCAAACGUGUCACAGGCAGAGUUUGCUUGUGUUAUGACUUCUUCAGGGUACAGGGCACAGUCCUCAGGGUGCCGCCCCUUUGUCCUUCAGUGUGCCUUGUUCCUCUCCCUCCAGUUCUGAUGGGACAGUAAAUGCCAGUGCGAAGGGCCGACACGUGAUGCUCUCUGGCCACCCUUGGUAUUUUCUGACCAUGGAGAAUAAACAGAAGAACUAAGUAAAACCAA